GAUGAACGCUGGCGGCGUGCCUAAUACAUGCAAGUCGAACGAAACUUCUUUAUCACCGAGUGCUUGCACUCACCGAUAAAGAGUUGAGUGGCGAACGGGUGAGUAACACGUGGGCAACCUGCCCAAAAGAGGGGGAUAACACUUGGAAACAGGUGCUAAUACCGCAUAACCAUAGUUACCGCAUGGUAACUAUGUAAAAGGUGGCUAUACUACCGCUUUUGGAUGGGCCCGCGGCGCAUUAGCUAGUUUGUAGGGUAAAGGCUUACCAAGGCAAUGAUGCGUAGCCGAAUUGAGAGGUUGAUCGGCCACAUUGGGACUGAGACACGGCCCAAACUCCUACGGGAGGCAGCAGUAGGGAAUCUUCCACAAUGGGCGAAAGCCUGAUGGAGCAACGCCGCGUGGGUGAAGAAGGUCUUCGGAUCGUAAAACCCUGUUGUUAGAGAAGAAAGUGCGUGAGAGUAACUGUUCACGUUUCGACGGUAUCUAACCAGAAAGCCACGGCUAACUACGUG
rnacentral:rRNA from 1 species